GGAAGGGCCAUAGCCCAGUGGUAGAGCAUUUGCUUGGCAUGCAGAAGGUCCCUGGUUCACUCUCUGUCCUUUCCA